rnacentral:rRNA from 1 species
UACGUAGGGUGCGAGCGUUAAUCGGAAUUACUGGGCGUAAAGCGUGCGCAGGCGGUUCGUUGUGUCGGUGGUGAAAGCCCCGGGCUUAACCUGGGAAUGGCCGUCGAAACUGGCGAACUGGAGUGUGGCAGAGGGGGGUGGAAUUCCGCGUGUAGCAGUGAAAUGCGUAGAGAUGCGGAGGAACACCGAUGGCGAAGGCAGCCCCCUGGGCUGACACUGACGCUCAGGCACGAAAGCGUGGAGAGCAAACAGG